CCUGUACGCUGAGACAUGUGGCAAUCCAGGCUGCUUGCUUUGGGAUCUAACAUGCAGGAGACGCUCCCCACCAUGGCCUGGCUGAGGCAGCUCACGAAGCUUGUCCAGUUGUCCACGUGACUGAGCCCGAAGGCGGCUCUGUGAACACCGCCAUACCAAAUGCCACCCACAUUUCAGAGACGUCUUUCUUCGUGCAGAAAUAUGACACCUCAACUUCGUCAUGGGAAGAUGUCAUUUACUCCUCUGAUGAGGACUCCCAAAACGUCCUCAGUUCCUUCAAGGAGACACUCUCCUUUUCUGGUGGCUACUUCAAGAUGGAGAACGUGAGCAAAGGGGAUGAAGGUGUUUACAGGAUUCAAGGUGAAAUGUACAAGAAGUGUGUGGGUAUUGUAAACCUCAUCGUGGUAGAGCCCAGCUCAAUCCCACCUACUGUGUCUGGGACGUCCGGUGCUGAGGAGGAACCUCGCAGUGAGACCAAAGGGGAAGGUAAGUAGCUUGUGAUGGGAGAUUUCCUGCACCAAUAGCGUCUCUCAUCCCAGCCACACACAUGUCCCAGCUCCCACUUAUGUAAAUGUGAGCUUGAGGGAAUCAUGCAGUUGCUCCAGAUCUUCUCAGAUGGCCUGAUGGCUUGUGCCACAAUUGGCCAAAAAUGGACCAGUGGGAGCUGGCAUAGCAGAGUUGGCUACGCCCAA